rnacentral:rRNA from 1 species
UAGCGUAUAUUAAAGUUGUUGCGGUAAAAAAGCACGUAGUUGGAUUUCUGUUGAAGACGUCCGGUCCAUACCACGUAUGCGCACCUGGCUCGGCUUCGGCAUCCUCUCGAAAGACGUUUCUGCGCUUGAUUGCGUGGAGCGGAUCUCGGGACUUUUACUUUGAGGAAAUUAGAGUGUUCACGGCAGGCUAUCGCCAGAAUACAUUAGCAUGGAAUAAUACUAUAGGAUCUAGGUUCUAUUUUGUUGGUUUCUAGAAUUGAGAUAAUGAUUAAUAGGGACAAUUGGGGGCAUUCCUAUCAACACGUUAGAGGUGAAAUUCUUGGAUCGUGUUGCGACGAACUACUGCGAAAGCAUUUGCCAAGGAUGUUUUCAUUGAUCAAGAACGAAAGUAAGGGGAUCGAAGACGAUUAGAUACCGUCGUAGUCUCUACCAUAAACUAUGCCAACUAGAGAUGGGACGUCGUUCACUUAAGACUUGUUCCGCACCUUAUGAGAUAUCAAAGUCUUUGGGUUCCGGGGGGAGUAUGGUCGCAAGUCUGAAACUUAAAGGAAUUGACGGAAGGGCACCACCAGGAGUGGAGCCUGCGGCUUAAUUUGACUCAACACGGGGAAACUCGCCAGGUCCAGACAUAAUAAGGAUUGACAGAUUGAUAGCUCUUUCUUGAUUUUAUGGGUGGUGGUGCAUGGCCGUUCUUAGUUCGUGGAGUGAUUUGUCUGCUUAAUUGCGUUAACGA